rnacentral:lncRNA from 1 species
CCAAGCCUGGCGCCCAGCCUGCGGCAGAAGUCUUGGCACUGCUCUAGCGUGCUUCCAGCCCCCAACGGGUUGCACGGCCACUGGUCCGCCGCCGGCUUCAACGACGGCGAAUCUGGCACGGACGCUUUCAGCGCGUAGCCUGCAUAGGUCAGUUUCAGAUGCCGGCGUCGUCAGUAAUCGUGAUCAUUGGCCGCAUAGAUCGAGGUAAUUAAAGAUGAAAAAUGGGCACAGAUCAGUCUUGCAAUCACCUGUGGACAUGAGGAGUGCGGCGAGAAGGAUCGCUGUAGAAGGUAACGACAUGGCCCUCAUCCUCUGAUGGUCUUGUUCCAGUGGUGGUGAAUUAUAUAAUGCUGGUGCUGGACGACGGAUCUAUGCUGAUGAUGCAGUCAUCAAGUCGACUGAUCCUAGUGUUUUAUGCAUG